rnacentral:lncRNA from 1 species
AUGUGGGGAGAAGAGGCAGACGUGAAGCCAGGCACAGGCCCGGGCAGACUGGGGAGGUCAGGAGGUCACCACCCUGCUCCCGGCUCCUCACUCCACUUCCUGUUCCCACACAGGGAAGGUUAGCCCGCAUGUCACUCGAGGCAGAACCCUCUGGUCACAUCACAGAAUGUCCUUAGUCCCCGAGGCCCAGGAAUGUUCCCCUCCACCCUCUCUGGGGGGGAUGAUCUUGCUGCAGCUGACACUGUGCUGACGGUCACUUCUCACCUGACAUCGGGACACCCUUCAUUGGCAUCUUAGAGCCCGUGCAGCAGCAGCUCCUGGGCAGCAGCCUUCUCUUUCGCUGCUUGGGAGUCUUGGUGCACAAAUGCUUGCAUGCGCGUCAGAAGACUGAAUUUCCACUUGUCAUUUGUCAUGGUGUUUGGAGGACUGAUUGAACCGCCGGCUUCUGAGGGUUAUCUUGAUUUUUGCCUUCCACCUUGCCACAGGAGUGCUGGGACCACACAACUAUGUCUAGCGUUACACGGAUCCUGGAGACUCAAACCCAGGCCCCCAUGCUUGUGUGGCAAGCCCUUUACCCACUGCCGGCUAGUUUUAUGUCAAAUUAGUACAAGUUAGGGUUAUCUGAGAGGAGGGAACCUCAGUAAAGAAAAAUGCCUCCGUAAGAGCAGGCUGUAGGCCAGCCUGUAGGGAAUUUUCUUGGUUACUGAUUGAUAAUGGAGGGCCCAGCCCAUUGCGGACCUUGCCACCCCUGGGCUGGCCGUGCUGUAAGAAAGCUGGCUGCCGAGUAUCAAGCCAGUAAGCAGUCUUUCUCCAUGGCCUUUGUAUCUGCUCCUGCCUCUAGGUUCCUAGCCUGCUUGAGUCCC